UUUCACUUCUCACUUCCUCUUUCUGUGUAGAAUGGGUUCCUCAUUCUCUGCUGAGGGCCUCCCUUUGGCUCUGAGCCUGUCUCACCUCACUUCCCCACUUCAAAGUGAGGCAAAGAAAACUGGAGAUGCUGGAGUGAGAGACAAGAGAAAGACAGAAAAGAUGGCAGAGUAG
rnacentral:lncRNA from 1 species